CCGUAGGUGAACCUGCGGAGGGAUCAUUACACAAAUAUGAAGGCGGGCUGGAACCUCUCGGGGUUACAGCCUUGCUGAAUUAUUCACCCUUGUCUUUUGCGUACUUCUUGUUUCCUUGGUGGGUUCGCCCACCACUAGGACAAACAUAAACCUUUUGUAAUUGCAAUCAGCGUCAGUAACAAAUUAAUAAUUACAACUUUCAACAACGGAUCUCUUGGUUCUGGCAUCGAUGAAGAACGCAGCGAAAUGCGAUAAGUAGUGUGAAUUGCAGAAUUCAGUGAAUCAUCGAAUCUUUGAACGCACAUUGCGCCCUUUGGUAUUCCAAAGGGCAUGCCUGUUCGAGCGUCAUUUGUACCCUCAAGCUUUGCUUGGUGUUGGGCGUCUUGUCUCUAGCUUUGCUGGAGACUCGCCUUAAAGUAAUUGGCAGCCGGCCUACUGGUUUCGGAGCGCAGCACAAGUCGCACUCUCUAUCAGCAAAGGUCUAGCAUCCAUUAAGCCUUUUUUUCAACUUUUGACCUCGGAUCAGGUAGGGAUACCCGCUGAACUUAAGCAUAUCAAUAAGCGGAGG
rnacentral:rRNA from 1 species